rnacentral:pre_miRNA from 1 species
UGUGGACUUAUUGAGUCAUAUGGUAACUUUUAUUUUUGACAGUUUGAGGAACUGUCAAACUAUUUUCCAAAGUGUAUGUACCAUAUUAGAAUCCCACAAACAAG